rnacentral:rRNA from 1 species
CCUACGGGUGACUGCAGUGAGGAAUAUUGGUCAAUGGACGAGAGUCUGAACCAGCCAAGUAGCGUGAAGGAUGACUGCCCUAUGGGUUGUAAACUUCUUUUAUAUGGGAAUAAAACGUUCCACGUGUGGGAUUUUGUAUGUACCAUAUGAAUAAGGAUCGGCUAACUCCGUGCCAGCAGCCGCGGUAAUACGGAGGAUCCGAGCGUUAUCCGGAUUUAUUGGGUUUAAAGGGAGCGUAGGUGGAUUGUUAAGUCAGUUGUGAAAGUUUGCGGCUCAACCGUAAAAUUGCAGUUGAAACUGGCAGUCUUGAGUACAGUAGAGGUGGGCGGAAUUCGUGGUGUAGCGGUGAAAUGCUUAGAUAUCACGAAGAACUCCGAUUGCGAAGGCAGUUCACUGGACUGCAACUGACACUGAGGCUCGAAAGUGUUGGUAUCAAACAGGAUUAGAUACCCCUGUAGUC